rnacentral:rRNA from 2 species
ACGAGGCACUACGGUGCUGAAGUAACAAAUGCCCUGCUUCCAGGAAAAGCCUCUAAGCAUCAGGUAACAUCAAAUCGUACCCCAAACCGACACAGGUGGUCAGGUAGAGAAUACCAAGGCGCUUGAGAGAACUCGGGUGAAGGAACUAGGCAAAAUGGUGCCGUAACUUCGGGAGAAGGCACGCUGAUAUGUAGGUGAAGCCCCUGCGGGUGGAGCUGAAAUCAGUCGAAGAUACCAGCUGGCUGCAACUGUUUAUUAAAAACACAGCACUGUGCAAACACGAAAGUGGACGUAUACGGUGUGACGCCUGCCCGGUGCCGGAAG